rnacentral:rRNA from 1 species
GCAUAUCAAUAAGCGGAGGAAAAGAAACCAACAGGGAUUGCCCUAGUAACGGCGAGUGAAGCGGCAACAGCUCAAAUUUGAAAUCUGGCGCAAGCCCGAGUUGUAAUUUGUAGAGGAUGUUUCUGGCGACGUGCCUUCCGAGUUCCCUGGAACGGGACGCCAUAGAGGGUGAGAGCCCCGUACGGUUGGAUGCCUAGCCUCUGUGAAACUCCUUCGACGAGUCGAGUAGUUUGGGAAUGCUGCUCUAAAUGGGAGGUAUACGUCUUCUAAAGCUAAAUACCGGCCAGAGACCGAUAGCGCACAAGUAGAGUGAUCGAAAGAUGAAAAGCACUUUGAAAAGAGGGUUAAAAAGUACGUGAAAUUGUUGAAAGGGAAGCGUUCAUGACCAGACUUGGGCAGGUUGAUCAUCCGUGGUUCUCCGCGGUGCACUCUGCCUGCCCAGGCCAGCAUCAGUUCGCCCCGGGGGAUAAAGGCUCUGGGAAUGUGGCUCCUCCGGGAGUGUUAUAGCCCACUGCGUAAUACCCUGGGGCGGACUGAGGUUCGCGCUCUGCAAGGAUGCUGGCGUAAUGGUCAUCAACGACCCGUCUUGAAACACGGACCAAGGAGUCGUCUUCGUAUGCGAGUGUUCGGGUGUCAAACCCCUACGCGUAAUGAAAGUGAACGUAGGAGAGAGCUUCGGCGCAUCUCCGACCGAUCCUGAUGUUCUCGGAUGGAUUUGAGUAAGAGCAUACGGGGCCGGACCCGAAAGAAGGUGAACUAUGCCUGUAUAGGGUGAAGCCAGAGGAAACUCUGGUGGAGGCUCGCAGCGGUUCUGACGUGCAAAUCGAUCGUCAAAUAUGGGCAUGGGGGGCGAAAGACUAAUCGAACCUUCUAGUAGCUGGUUUCCGCGA